GUUUUCACCAAUACAGUACAGUACUACCACUUUUAUACGUCACAUCGGCAAAAUUUUUCGCAAAAAA